GGACGACGCUGGCGGCGUGCUUAACACAUGCAAGUCGAGCGAUGAAAUUUCUCGGAAGUGGAUUAGCGGCGGACGGGUGAGUAACACGUGGGUAACCUGCCUCAUAGAGGGGAAUAGCCUUUCGAAAGGAAGAUUAAUACCGCAUAAGAAGUAGAAGUCGCAUGGCUUUAGCUUUAAAGGAGCAAUCCGCUAUAAGAUGGACCCGCGUUUGAUUAGCUGGUUGGUGGGGUAACGGCCUACCAAGGCGACGAUCAAUAGCCGACCUGAGAGGGUGACCGGCCACAUUGGGACUGAGACACGGCCCAAACUCCUACGGGAGGCAGCAGUGGGGAAUAUUGCACAAUGGGCGAAAGCCUGAUGCAGCGACGCCGCGUGAGCGAAGAAGUAUUUCGGUAUGUAAAGCUCUAUCAGCAGGGAAGAUAAUGACGGUACCUGACUAAGAAGCACCGGCUAAAUACGUG
rnacentral:rRNA from 1 species